CUUUUUUUUGGCAAAAAAGCGGCCUUGGCCAUAAAAGAACAACGAAAUGAACGAAUGAGACGGCCUUGGCCAGGGUCAUAUGGCCAAGCCUCCACUCAAACACCUUCUCCUGCCCGCUCUAAAGCUCACCAAACUCCUCUCCAAAACUUUCUGCUGCAGCCCAUGCCAACCCAGAAGCCAAUCUUCCGUUAAAUCUAAACAAGCAUUCAUCCACCUCUGCUCCAAAGGCUCUCUCAGAGAAGCCUUGCAAGGCUUCCUCCCCGAGCUAUUUGCGGAUCCUAACCUCUUCUCCCACCUCCUCCAAGCCUGCUGCCUCCUCCCUCUCCGCCAUGGCCAGCAGAUCCACGCCCUCAUCAUCACCUCCGGCGCCUCCAACGACCGCUUCACUGCCAACCACCUCCUCCACAUGUACUCCAAAAUCGGCCUGCUCCAGACCGCCCUCUCCCUGUUCGGCGCAAUGCCGAGGAGGAACGUCAUGUCCUACAAUAUCCUCCUCGGCGGCCUCCUCCAGAACGGGGACCUCCGGGAUGCCCGCGAGUUAUUCGACGACAUGCCCGAGAGGAACCUCGCCACCUGGAAUGCCAUGGUAACAGGGCUGACUCACUUCGGGCUCGACGAGCAAGGAUUGGAGCUGUUCGCCGAGAUGCGGAGGCAGGGGCUGCGACCGGACGAGUUCAGUUUGGGCAGCGUCCUGCGGUGCUGUGCUGGGAUAAAAGAUGUCAGUUCGGGCCGGCAGAUUCAUUCCUGUGUGAUAUACUCUGGUUUCGAAUGUGAUAUGUGCGUCGGCAGCUCGCUGGCUCACAUGUACAUGAGAAACGGAUGCCUUGAGGAGGGCGAGAGGGUGUUAAAAGGAUUGCCGGCACUUAACAUUGUCUCCUGCAACACCAUAAUCGCGGGAAGGGUGCAGAAUGGAGACCCCGAGGGAGCUCUUGACUAUUUUAGUCUGAUGAAGGCUGCUGGACUGGCGCCAGAUCAGGUCACCUUUGUGAGUGUUAUGAGCUCGUGCUCGGAUUUGGCGGCUCUUGGGCAGGGCCAGCAGAUUCAUUCGCAGGCCACUAAAGCCGGAGUUGAUCAGGUGGUGGCAGUGAGAAGUUCGCUUGUGAGCAUGUAUUCAAAAUGCGGAUGCUUGGAUGACUCUGCUAAAGUAUUUUCUGAAUCAAAUGGAUCAGAUCUUGUUUUGUGGAGCUCGAUGAUUGCAGCUUAUGGGUUCCAUGGACAUGGGCAGAAGGCAAUCAAGCUGUUUGAGGAGAUGGUGGAAGAAGGGACUGAACCGAAUGAGGUCACGUUCUUGAGCUUGCUAUAUGCUUGCAGUCACAGUGGUUUGAAGGACAAGGGAAUGGAAUAUUUUGAGCUUAUGACACAGAAGUACAGACUAAAGCCUACUUUGAAGCACUAUACGUGCAUCGUCGAUCUGCUUGGGCGCUCGGGAUGUCUGGAUGAGGCUGAAGCUCUGAUCAAAUCGAUGCCUGUAAGUGCUGAUGGAGUCAUUUGGAAGACGCUGUUAUCUGCCUGUAAGACCCACAGGAAUGCGGAGAUGGCAGAGCAGGUAGCAGAGCAUGUGCUGAGGUUGGAGCCGCAGGAUUCUGCUUCUUAUGUGUUGCUCUCAAACAUUCGGGCUACGUCCAAAAGGUGGGGUGAGGUAUCUGAGAUUCGAAGAGCUAUGAGGGAGAGAAGGGUGAGAAAGGAGCCUGGGAUCAGCUGGGUGGAGCUCAGGGGCCAGGUGCACCAGUUCUCCACGGGGGACAGGUUGCAUCCUAUGCAGGGAGAGAUCGAAGUGUGCUUGAACCAGCUGAUAGGAAAGAUGAGGCAGUAUGGGUAUGUGCCAGACACCAGCACAGUUCUGCAUGACAUGGAUGAUGAAGAGAAAGAGUGCAGUUUGGCUCAUCACAGUGAGAAGCUGGCUAUUGCAUUUGCUAUUCUGAGCAUGCCUGAAGGAGUUCCAAUUCGAGUCAUGAAGAACUUACGAGUUUGUGAUGAUUGCCAUGUGGCUAUUAAGUUUAUAUCUAAGAUUGUGGACCGGGAGAUUAUAGUCAGAGAUGUUAGCCGUUUUCAUCAUUUCAGAGAUGGGGAAUGCUCUUGUGGAGAUUACUGGUGAUCUUGAGUCAAAGGAUUUAGAAGAAGCUUUUACCAGCAUGACCCCUUGAAAAGGUUGAAUGAUAAGAAGAUAUAGCUCCGAGAGUUGGGAAAAAAGGAAUGUUCCUGCUUUCACCAAUCUUUUAUCCAUUUAGAGCACAAACUAUUGGAAUGGGUAGCUUAGGAAACAUCAAGAGGCCAGCCACUCUGCCUUCUUCAAAUUGGGUGAUGUUUCCUGGACUGGACUUUGCAUGGGACAUCAAUGUAUCUGUUCAUGUGUUGGCUAUCCUCUUCGGUUGGCAAGGGGAGAUUCAAAAAAGGUCAUUUCACUAUUCAAUUUGGAACUGAAUGAUCUUCAGUUAGUCCAAGGUUGAAGGCCUUGGCAAAUGGUGCGCUGAUCAGAUCUGAGGAUCCAAAACCAGAACUCAAUUGUUCUUCUAGGAACUUUCCUGCAUGCACAGAAAGAUUGCAUUUAAUUUUUUCCUCCUUUCUAUUAUCCACAAGAACUAGCAGACGACAAUGUACAUCAAAUAGAUUGCCCGACCUAAUGGAAAUUAUGAACAUUUAUUUUGCUAGUGGAAGAAAUCAUCCUCAGAAACAUCGGUGCAUUCCAAUUUGUGUUGAGGUCAGCCUCGGCUAAAUGUUGGAAACAAGUUUAUGGUAAUGCUUGAAAAUGCUUUGACACCCAAAUGUUCUUCACAGGCUUAGAUGAUGUUUGAUUAAAUGUACAGUGAUCGCACAUAAGUGAUUUCCCAAAGGGAUAUUUUUUAAAUCUCAAAACUAAGUCUGUGGAUGCACAGAAGCCUGUCUUGGUACAUGAU